GACGAACGCUGGCGGCGUGCUUAACACAUGCAAGUCGAACGCUGAAGCUCAGCUUUUGUUGGGUGGAUGAGUGGCACGGGUGAGUAACACGUGAGUAACCUGCCCCCUUCUUUGGGAUAACGCCCGGAAACGGGUGCUAAUACUGGAUAUUCACUGGUCUUCGCAUGGGGGUUGGUGGAAAGGGUUUUUCUGGUGGGGGAUGGGCUCGCGGCCUAUCAGCUUGUUGGUGGGGUGAUGACCUACCAAGGCUUUGACGGGUAGCCGGCCUGAGAGGGUGACCGGUCACAUUGGGACUGAGAUACGGCCCAGACUCCUACGGGAGGCAGCAGUGGGGAAUAUUGCACAAUGGGCGCAAGCCUGAUGCAGCGACGCCGCGUGAGGGAUGGAGGCCUUCGGGUUGUGAACCUCUUUCGCUCAUGGUCAAGCCGCAACAAUGGUUGUGGUGAGGGUAGUGGGUAAAGAAGCGCCGGCUAACUACGUG
rnacentral:rRNA from 1 species